UACAGGGGGUGCAAACGUUGCUCGGAAUUAUUGGGCGUAAAGCGCGCGUAGGCGGCUACUUAAGUCGGAUGUGAAAGCCCUUGGCUCAACUGAGGAAGUGCACCCGAAACUGAGUGGCUUGAGUACGAAAGAGGGUCGCGGAAUUCCCGGUGUAGAGGUGAAAUUCGUAGAUAUCGGGAGGAACACCGGUGGCGAAGGCAGCUCGCUGGGACGUUACUGACGCUGAGACGCGAAAGCGUGGGGAGCGAACAGG
rnacentral:rRNA from 1 species